GACGAACGUUGGCGGCGUGCUUAACACAUGCAAGUCGAACGGAAAGGCCCUGCUUUUGUGGGGUGCUCGAGUGGCGAACGGGUGAGUAACACGUGAGUAACCUGCCCUUGACUUUGGGAUAACUUCAGGAAACUGGGGCUAAUACCGGAUAGGAGCUCCUGCUGCAUGGUGGGGGUUGGAAAGUUUCGGCGGUUGGGGAUGGACUCGCGGCUUAUCAGCUUGUUGGUGGGGUAGUGGCUUACCAAGGCUUUGACGGGUAGCCGGCCUGAGAGGGUGACCGGCCACAUUGGGACUGAGAUACGGCCCAGACUCCUACGGGAGGCAGCAGUGGGGAAUAUUGCACAGUGGGCGGAAGCCUGAUGCAGCAACGCCGCGUGCGGGAUGACGGCCUUCGGGUUGUAAACCGCUUUCGCCUGUGACGAAGCGUGAGUGACGGUAAUGGGUAAAGAAGCACCGGCUAACUACGUGCCAGCAGCCGCGGUGAUACGUAGGGUGCGAGCGUUGUCCGGAUUUAUUGGGCGUAAAGGGCUCGUAGGUGGUUGAUCGCGUCGGAAGUGUAAUCUUGGGGCUUAACCCUGAGCGUGCUUUCGAUACGGGUUGACUUGAGGAAGGUAGGGGAGAAUGGAAUUCCUGGUGGAGCGGUGGAAUGCGCAGAUAUCAGGAGGAACACCAGUGGCGAAGGCGGUUCUCUGGGCCUUUCCUGACGCUGAGGAGCGAAAGCGUGGGGAGCGAACAGGCUUAGAUACCCUGGUAGUCCACGCUGUAAACGGUGGGUACUAGGUGUGGGGUCCAUUCCACGGGUUCCGUGCCGUAGCUAACGCUUUAAGUACCCCGCCUGGGGAGUACGGCCGCAAGGCUAAAACUCAAAGGAAUUGACGGGGCCCCGCACAAGCGGCGGAGCAUGCGGAUUAAUUCGAUGCAACGCGUAGAACCUUACCUGGGUUUGACAUGGAUCGGGAGUGCUCAGAGAUGGGUGUGCCUCUUUUGGGGUCGGUUCACAGGUGGUGCAUGCCUGUCGUCAGCUCGUGUCGUGAGAUGUUGGGUUAAGUCCCGCAACGAGCGCAACCCUUGUUCACUGUUGCCAGCACGUUAUGGUGGGGACUCAGUGGAGACCGCCGGGGUCAACUCGGAGGAAGGUGGGGAUGACGUCAAGUCAUCAUGCCCCUUAUGUCCAGGGCUUCACGCAUGCUACAAUGGCUGGUACAGAGAGUGGCGAGCCUGUGAGGGUGAGCGAAUCUCGGAAAGCCGGUCUCAGUUCGGAUUGGGGUCUGCAACUCGACCUCAUGAAGUCGGAGUCGCUAGUAAUCGCAGAUCAGCAACGCUGCGGUGAAUACGUUCCCGGGGCC
rnacentral:rRNA from 1 species